rnacentral:rRNA from 1 species
GAUGAACGCUGGCGGCGUGCCUAAUACAUGCAAGUCGAGCGAACAGACGAGGAGCUUGCUCCUCUGACGUUAGCGGCGGACGGGUGAGUAACACGUGGAUAACCUACCUAUAAGACUGGGAUAACUUCGGGAAACCGGAGCUAAUACCGGAUAAUAUAUUGAGCCGCAUGGUUCAAUUGUGAAAGACGGUUUUGCUGUCACUUAUAGAUGGAUCCGCGCCGCAUUAGCUAGUUGGUAAGGUAACGGCUUACCAAGGCAACGAUGCGUAGCCGACCUGAGAGGGUGAUCGGCCACACUGGAACUGAGACACGGUCCAGACUCCUACGGGAGGCAGCAGUAGGGAAUCUUCCGCAAUGGGCGAAAGCCUGACGGAGCAACGCCGCGUGAGUGAUGAAGGUCUUCGGAUCGUAAAACUCUGUUAUUAGGGAAGAACAAAUGUGUAAGUAACUAUGCACGUCCUGACGGUACCUAAUCAGAAAGCCACGGCUAACUACGUG